rnacentral:rRNA from 1 species
AGUGAACGCUGGCGGUAGGCCUAACACAUGCAAGUCGAACGGCAGCACAGUAAGAGCUUGCUCUUACGGGUUGCGAGUGGCGGACGGGUGAGGAAUACAUCGGAAUCUACUUUUUCGUGGGGGAUAACGUAGGGAAACCUACGCCAAUACCGCAUACGACCUACGGGGGAAAGCAGGGGAACUUCGGACCGUGCGCGAUUGAAUGAGCCGAUGUCGGAUUAGCUAGUUGGCGGGGUAAAGGCCCACCAAGGCGACGAUCCGUAGCUGGUCUGAGAGGCUGAUCAGCCACACUGGAACUGAGACACGGUCAAUACUCCUGCGAGAGGCAGCAGUCGGGAAUAUUGGACAAUGGUCGGGAGCCUUAUCCAGCGAUACCGCGUGUGAGGAGACGGCGUUCGGGUUGUGAUGCCCUUUUGUUGGGAAAGAACCGCAGCCGGUUAAUACCCCGCUGUUCUGACGGUACCCAAAGAAUAAGCACCGGCUAACUUCGUG